CCAAAGUAUUGGAGUUUCAGCUUUAGCAUCAGUCCUUCCAAUGAACACCCAGGACUGAUCUCCUUUAGGAUGGACUGGUUGGAUCUCCUUGCAGUCCAAGGGACUCUCAAGAGUCUUCUCCAAUACCACUGUUCAAAAGCAUCAAUUCUUCAGUGCUCAGAUUUCCUUAUAGUCCAACUCUCACAUCCAUACAUGACUACUGGAAAAACCACAGCCUUGACUAAACAUUCCUUUGUUGGCAAAGUAAUGUCUCUGCUUUUUCAGGGAGACACAAUUCAAACCAUAGCUUUAUCCAUCCCCAGUUUACCCCUCAAUAUUAGCCUGAGUGACUCCUUUAAUAUUUUCUUUUCGUUCUUUUUUUUAAAAUGCAUUUAUUUGGCCAUGCUGAGUCUUAGUUGUGGCAUGUGGGAUCUAGUUCCUUCACCAAGGAUUGAACUCAGAUCCUCUGCAUUUGGAGUGCUGAAUCUUAGCCACUGGAGCACCAGGGAAGUCCCAAUAAUGUCUUAUAUGUUAUACCUCUGUUCAAAAAUGUCUAGUGGUUUCACAAUUCAUUCAGAGAGAAAACCAUACUCCUUGAUGGCCUACACAUCCCUCCAUGCUCAGCUCCUCCCCCCAACUCUCUCUGCUCUGGUUUUCUCUCCUAUGUCUCCCCUUGCUUGCUUUGCUUCAGUUCUUUGGCCUCUUUGCUUUGCCUUGAAACUAAGACAAGUGGAGUCCCCUCAAAGUCACAGUACCUGUUGUUCCGUCUUCAAACAGUGCUAUUCUCCCGAUUAUGCACUUGACUUGUACCCUCACAUUAUUCAGACAUUUAUUCAAAUAUCUCCUACUCGGAAAGGUUUUCCAUGAAUAAAAUUAAAAUUCUAAAUCAAAUUAGCAGUGAAAUAGCCCUUUAUCUUCCUGACUCCACCCACUGCUGAUUGAUCCCCUGCUCUGUGUCCUGUUUUUCCACAGCACUUUUGAUAUAUUUAGUUAUUUGUUUUCCUCCACUAAAAAGGCAGCUUACAAAGAGCAAGUGUUUUGUCUCUUUGAUUCAAUUCC
rnacentral:lncRNA from 1 species